GCACCCGGGGCCAGGAGCGGAAGUCCGAGGGGACCCCACGGCGGAGGAGCGGCAGAGCCCGGGCCCCGCGGGAGAGAGAGGCGGGAGCCUCUCACACUAACAGUUGAUCGGCGGAUUCCACUUACUGUGACUAUCCAGUCUCCUCUAGGCCUUUGGACAUCUGAAAGGCAGUGUUAAGAGCCCAACUCUGGAGAUGGACUUUGGCUCCACCACCAAGUAUUAAUAGCUCUGUGACUUGGGGCAAGUUACUUAACCUCCCUACACCACAGUUUCCACUGCUGUAAAUUGGGGAUGAUGAUAAUAACAGCCACCUCACAAGGUUGCCUGGAGAUUUGAUUAAAUGAAAUAAUUAGCAUGG
ensembl:lncRNA novel transcript